rnacentral:lncRNA from 1 species
AGUCUUUGGUGUAAUAAUAGAAAAAAAACCCUUUGAGGGCUGUGGUAAGCCACAGUCGUUUUUAAAUACCUGUUAAACAGAAAGAGUGGCUCAUACUAGUGGUCAGCGUGUGAGAAAUUCAAAAUGCUCAGGGUUUCAUGGACAUUUCUCAGCAUAAUUAAUCUCUUUUUAAAAUUUGGCCCUAUUCUUAUCAGCACCAAUAUUAUACUUUGAAAUGAAUGGAAAUGCUGUACUCAUUGAAGGGAUAAGGAUUAAAUCUUAAAUGGGGUCUAGGGAUGAAGUGAGGAGGGAAAAAACCCUUACAAACCUGGUGCUUUUUUUCUCCUUUGGAAAUGAAAAGCAACAGGCUAUACUCUGUGAAAGAAAGGAAAUGGUGCUGACGAGCUUUUCCCCAACCACUGUACACCUCUGGUUCAGAACUAGCAGAAGCCAAUUAGUUAUUUAGUUCACUCGCACAUUUAAGCGUGAUAUUUGAUUUAUAUGAGCAUCAGGAACUAGAUAUUCAGGCAUAAUUCAGGUCCUUUUUCUCUUUCAUUAUAAUGAGUAACUUUAAUUCUUGUUUUAUAUUUGUUUGAAUCCAUGAUCUGUUUUUAAUCCUAUAUCUUCUGUAUCUGACAGACUCCAUUUCAUCCAUUUUUUUAGUUGUCCUUUUUUACUAUAUAGUUUUACAGAAUCCAGGAAAUCCUUUUCUUCUGUUAAAAUGCUAUCACUAGUAGUAAUAUUUCUAAUGCCAAUUUAAACCUUUUUAUCCUAGCAUACUUUGUGCAGAAU